rnacentral:lncRNA from 10 species
UUAUUCCCUCUGAAGAAGAAGAAGAAGAAGAAAACAUACUGCAGCUCCCGAUUUGGAACAUCAUAUUUGAAAACAAGGUGGGGCCUUCAUCAUAUGCAACCUUCAUAUUUUAGGGCCUGCCUCUUUCUAUUCCUUGACAUAAACCGGACUCUUCAUGCUAAUCAGGCUGGAAGUGUAUCGUAAGGAUGCUGAAGCUAAAAACAAUGUCCAAGGCCAAAUAACUGACAAGAAGAAGGCCAAGGCAUCUAGAAACCAUGUCUUCUGAUUCACAGUUGAUCAUAUUUUUCUAUCACCUUUGAUAAGGCAUAAAAUAUUAUUUUGAUGAGUAAAUAAAAAGACUUUGGACACCUG